AAUACAUAUUAGCUAUUACUAUGAGUAGCACUAAUUAUUCCAUUUUUGCAGGUGAGAGAAAUGAGGCAUGACAGAUAACUUGUAAGUUCUCGAAGUUUACAAUGGUAAAGCCAGGCCGGGUGCAGUGGCAUGCACCUGUAAUCACAGCAACUCAUGAGAUUAAAGCAGGAGGACCUCUUGAGCCCAGGAGUUUGAGGUUUCAGUGAGCUAUGAUCAUGCCACUGCACUCCAACCUGGGCAACAGAGCAAAACCCUGUCAAUCAAUCAAGCAAGCAGACAAGCAAGGAAGCAAGCAGCAGAGCCUCUGCAUGAGCUCAUGAAUGGCUGCUGUGGAAAAUUACUGACGUCACCAGCUGAAUAACAGGCUAUCUGGAGAGUAAGCAGAUGAAACUGAUGUUAAAUUAUCAAAUGUACAAGAUUUUGGGCUCCUGCCAAAACCUUCAUUGAGAACUAAGAAGAGAAAAACUGAAAACACACAGAGCUUUUUUUAAGCUUCUGAGCCAGCAGGCUGUUCCUACAUCCACUCCAGGCAUAGAAAGAUGGCUGUAAAAUAAAAGAGAUGAUUAUCUC
rnacentral:lncRNA from 1 species